AUAUAAGUAAGUUGGUCUAUCUUCAAGCCAUUCUUAAAGAAAUUGAGAAAAUAAAGGCUAAUCUUAAAAGAUAAAAACACCCAAGAGGGGGGUGAAUUGAGUUUUUAAAAAUUAUUUUUAAACACAACAAAUUUAAGCAUAAGAGAAUCAAAUAUAAAAAGAUAAGGUUAGAGAAAUCAAACUCAGAUUUUAUAAUGGUUCAACACUUCCUUACCUACAUCCACUCUCCUCAAGCUCUUAACCGAGUGAGGGUUCCACUAACAUGAAGUUUCAACCAAACUUCUAAUUACAUUUACACUUAGAUUCCGGCUCCAAUGGGCUCUUACACAAUCUCUUCAAGUUUCAACUCACUUAAAGACUUUAACACUAAGUUAACAAGUAUGAAUCUCUCAACUUAGCUCAACAAUGACUCAAAUACAACCCAAAGCUAGGAUGAAUCACAAAGGUGCACUAAAGGAUAUGUAAAUGGAGAUUUAAUGCACCAAGAAAAGAAAUGAGAGCUUUUAAGGCAAGAACAAAUAGGUAAGCAAAUAAAUGCAUGUGUUCUCUUACUCAUAAAUGAAGUGGAACUCUUUAUUUAUAGGUUUUUAACAUUAUAAGCCAAAAAACCAAAAAAACAGUCUCAAUCGGUUGAGCUGAGGGUCAAUCGGUUCACUAGCCAUUGCAGCAUUUAAUGCUUGUCAGGUGACAGUUACCCUCGACCGGGAAGACAAAUCCCUCGACUGGGAAGGAAAGGCUACUGAAAAAGAGAGAGUCUUUUUUGCACCUCUCGGUCGGACCUCAACAGGAAAGGGGGAGCCGGUCGACCGGUACCCUAGUCAAUUGAGCCUGUUUGGACAUAGCCUUGAUCGGUUCACAAUUUUUUACCCGAAAACCUAUCUUUUUCUAGUAUUUUUGCUUCAAACACAUAGGUAAGGUCUUCAGAUAAAAUAUAUGCCAAUUUUGAAACGUUUAGCUUAAGGUUCAUUUGAUAGAUCUCGGAUUUUGGUGAAAAUGUAACUUUAAAGCAUAAAUCGAGUUUUUCAAAGAUGCAUGAAAUAAUAUGUAAAUCCUAAGUGUAUCAAUGCAUUCAUCUUACAUAUGUUUCCUAUCAUUAAAGGUCUUUCCAAAAGUCUUGAUCUUGCAUCCAUUAGGUCAUUUGAUGAAUUUCCAAAUUAACACCUGAAAUUUUUUAUAAUUUAAACCAAUUAGUAACUUAACUAUGAUUUGUUAUCAUCAAAACAUGAUUAGGAGAACCCUUGGGCUAACAGAGACAUUACGGUUAUAUCCACCAAGACCACUUGGAGGACUAUGCCAAUUUAUUGAGGAUUGCACCUUGGGUGGAUACCAUGUCUUUAAAGACACUUGUUUAAUAAUGAACCUUUCGAAGAUCCAAAAUAUCCAAGAAUCUAGUUAGAUUCGAUAGAAUUCUAACCAGAGAGGUUUCUCAUCAACCAUAAGAAUGUUGAUCCUUAGGGAAAACAUUUUGAAUUUAUACCAUUUGGAGCUGGUCAAAGAGCAUGUCUAGGAAUAGCUUUUGGUCUUCAAAUAUUAUAUUUAGCAUUAGCUAGUUUCUUACAUGCAUUUGACUUUUCAACUCCAUCAAAUGAACAUGUUGAUAUGCGAGAGAGCUUUGGACUUACAAAUAUGAAAUCUAUCCCACUCGAAGUUUUCAUUUCUCAAAUCUACCCCACUUGAAAUCCUCAUUUCUCUACACUUAUCUUCUUGUAGUCUUUACAACUAAAACAUUGAAAUGAAGAGGUCAAAGUUGACCCAGCUAGUCUUGGUUUAAAGACAUAUAGAGUUAGGUUCAAUCAAUCUAUGAUAAGAUUUGAGAUUUGUAUUAAAAGUAGGUUGGACUAAGAAUGAUGUACAAUAAACUAAAGUACUAUCCAUGCAAAUAAAGUAUAACAUUAUAUAUUAUUUGGUUAGCAUUCUGAAAUGUAACAUCAUAAUUAUUUCUUUGUUUUGUCUAAUUUAUCGCCAUUUCACCCCCUCAUCUUCAUCAAAACAAAUAAUAUAUAGUCUUUCUAUUUUUAAAAAUCAAAUUCGAUUCCCAAUUAUAUAAGAAUUUUACUAUUACUUUAUAAUAAACUUUACUUUAGUCUUAAUAACUUUGACUUGUAAAUAUGUUCUCCAUCCUUAAUUAAAUAUACAGAUAAUUUCAUUCAUUUUUUCUAAGAUUGGAGUUAAAUUUACCCAUCCAUACUUAACUUGAAAUUUUCUUAAAUAUCUGUUUUUUUUUCAUUUUUUUUACACGUAUAUCUUUUAAUUUAAAAUAAAAAAUAUUUAAUAAAAUUUCAAAAUAAUAGUUGUCAGACAUAUUUAUGUGACAUUUUCGAAGAGGUGAAUGAAACUAAACUUUUCUUUAAAUAUAAAAUCAUAAAAAUUUAAUAUAUGCAAGCAUGAUCCGGUCUAAAUAUGAUAUAUAAUUUGUGUCAUUUCAAAAAAUCACAGAAGAUCCUUUUGGCAAAGUGGCCCCCCAUUUGAGUUGUAUUCCGUAAUUGGUCACCACAUGUUAUAUCAUUUCAAAGAUUAUGGAGGAUCAUGUUGCCAAUCAUUAUCAGAAGAAGUACAGCUUCCUCUAUAAAACUAAUCAAUACGAUAUUUAGCACAUGCAAACAAAUUUGGAAGGAUCUGAAAGUCAAGUCUACGGGCCACCCCUUUACGACUUGUUCGAAAAAGCACAAAUCAAUGGUGGUGCCACUUGCCAGCAGUCUGUUUCAAUAUCUAAAUGUUACCUCGGUAAGAUUGCUUGACAUACUUUUUGUCUCCUACUAUCUCAUGGAGAUCCAGAGUUGGUAAGAUAAGAAUAGCAUCCGAAGCUGCUGGUGCAUGGCCAAUAAUCGGUCACCUCCUCUUAGGUGGGUCACAACUUCCUGGGAUUUUUUAUAAAAUUACGGUAGAUUUAAAAUUAAUUUUUUUAAAAUGCAGCAUAUUAAUGCUUGACAGCUGACAGUUACCCUCGAUCGGAAAGACAAAUCCCUCGACUGGGAAGGAAAGGCUACUGAAAAAGAGAGAGUGUUUUUUGCACCUCUCGGUCGGACAUCAACAGGGAAGGGGGAACCGGUCGAUCGGUACCCUAGUCAGUUGAGCCUGUUUGGACAGAACCUUGACCGGUUCACAAUUUUUUACCCGAAAACCUUUUUUUUUUUUGGUCUUUUUGCUUCAAACACUUAGACAAUGUCUUCAGAUAAAAUUAUAUACCAAUUUUGAAACGUUUUGCCUAAGGUUCAUUUCAUAGAUCUCGGAUUUUGAUGAAAAUGUAACUUUAAAGCAUAAAUCGAGUUUUUCAAAGAUGCAUGAAAUAAUAUGUAAAUCCUAAGUGCAUCAAUGCAUUUAUCUUACAUAUGUUUCCUAUCAUUAAAGGUCUUUCCAAAAGUCUUGAUCUUGCAUCCAUUAGGUCAUUUGAUGAAUUUCCAAAUUAACACCUGAAAUUUUUUAUAAUUUAAACCAAUUAGUAACUUAACUAUGGUUUGUUAUCAUCAAAACAUGAUUAGGAGAACCCUUGGGCUAACAGAGACAUUACGGUUAUAUCCACCAGGACCACUUGGAGGACUAUGCCAAUUUAUUGAGGAUUGCACCUUGGGUGGAUACCAUGUCUCUAAAGGCACCCGUUUAAUAAUGAACCUUUCGAAGAUCCAAAAGGAUCCAAGAAUCUAGUUAGAUUCGAUAGAAUUCCAACCAGAGAGGUUUCUCAUCAACCAUAAGAAUGUUGAUCCUUAGGGAAAACAUUUUGAAUUUAUACCAUUUGGAGCUGGUCAAAGAGCAUGUCCAGGAAUAGCUUUUGCUCUUCAAAUAUUAUAUUUAACAUUAGCUAGUUUCUUACAUGCAUUUGACUUUUCAACUCCAUCAAAUGAACAGGUUGAUAUGCGAGAGAGCCUUGAACUUAUAAAUAUGAAAUCUAUCCCACUUGAAGUUUUCAUUUCUCAAAUCUACCCCACUUGAAAUCCUCAUUUCUCUACACUUAUCUUCUUGUAGUCUUUACAACUAAAGCAUUGAAAUGAAGAGGUCAAAGUUGACCUAGCUAAUCUUGGUUUAAAGACAUAUGGAGUUAGGUUCAAUCAAUCUAUAAUAAGAUUUGGGAUUUGUAUUAAAAGUAGGUUGGACUAAGAAUGAUGUACAAUAAACUAAAGUACUAUCCAUGCAAAUAAAGUAUAACAUUAUAUAUUAUUUGGUUAGCCUUUUGGAAUGUAACAUCAUAAUUAUUUCUUUGUUUUGUCUAAUUUAUCGCCAUUUUUUCCCUUUCUCUUAUUCCCUCAUCUUCAUCAAAACAAAUAAUAUGUAGUUUUUCUAUUUUUAAAAAUCAAAUUCGAUUCCCAAUUAUAUAAGAAUUUUACUAUUACUUUAUAAUAAACUUUACUUUAGUCUUAAUAACUUUGACCUGUAAAUAUGUUCUCCAUCCUUAAUUAAAUAUACGGAUAAUUUCAUUCAUUUUUUCUAAGAUUGAAGUUAAAUUUACCCAUCCAUACUUAACUUGAAAUUUUCUUAAAUAUCUAUUUUUUUUCCUUUUUUUUACACAUAUAUCUUUUAAUUUAAAAUAAAAAAUAUUUAAUAAAAUUUCAAAAUAAUAGUUGUCAGAUAUAUUUAUGUGAAAUUUUCGAUGAGGUGGAUGAAACUAAACUUUUCUUUAAAUAUAAAAUCAUAAAAAUUUAAUAUAUGCAAGCAUGAUCCGGUCUAAAUAUGAUAUAUAAUUUGUGUCAUUUCAAAAAAUCAUAGAAGAUCCUUUUGGCAAAGUGGCCCCACCUUUGAGUUGUAUUCUGUAAUUGGUCACCACAUAUUAUAUAAUUUCAACGAUUAUGGAGGAUCAUGUUGCCAAUCAUUAUCAGAAGAAGUGCAGCUUCCUCUAUAAAACUAAUCAUAUUUAGCACACGCAAACAAAUUUGGAAGGAUCUGAAAGUCAAGUCUACGGGCCACCCCUUUACGGCUUGUUCGAAAAAGCACAAAUCGAUGGUGGUGCCACUUGCCAGCAGUCUGUUUCAAUAUCUAAAUGUUACCUCGGUGAGACUGCUUGACAUACUUUUUGUCUCCUACUAUCUCAUGGAGAUCCAGAGCUGGUAAGAUAAGAAUAGCAUCCGAAGCUGCUGGUGCAUGGCCAAUAACCGGUCACCUCCUCUUAGGUGGGUCACAACUUCCUGGGAUUUUUUAUAAAAUUACGGUAGAUUUAAAUUUAAUUUUUUUAAAAUGCAGCAUAUUAAAAAAUAUCUUUGAAUAAUAAUAAUAAAAUGACAAAUAAUAAAAAGGAAAGAAAGUUGUCUUGUGGCUAUAAGAAAGAAUAAUAUAAAAGAGAGAGAAGAGGAGAGGCGGAUAGAGAGAAGAGUAGCAGGAAAAAAAAAAAAGAGAACAGGGAGGUGCAUGCUGCAAAUCUUUGGGUGUUCGUAUGACGAGCAAAACGAGUUAUGUUUUGCGUGAAAAUUAAGGUGAAAAUUUUCUUUGACAUGAGGAACAUUCUUUCAAAGUUUGAUUUUAAUUUCAAUGAUUGGAUUUUUUGAUUUGUGGUGAGGUAGUUUAAUCCUAUAACUUUUGUUUAAUAUUUUUUCUUAAAAAAAUAUUAUGGAUUUUAUUACUGGGAGAUAAAUAUGUGUUAUUUGUGUUUUCUUUAUGUUAUUUGAAAUAUGAUUAUUGUUAGGGUGGAUUAUUAUGAUUUUUUUUUUUUUUUAUGUUUGCAAUGAUUUAAUUGAAGAAAAAUUAUUGUGUUGAUUGUUGGAAAUUAUUCAAUAUAUUAAGAAUAAAUAAAAUUUAUAUGAUUAUGGUUUAGACUAUGUUUUGAUGAUAUAUAAAUUAUUGUGAUUUUUUUUGUGGUUAUUUAAUUGAAGAAAAAUUGUUGUGAUGUAAUUGGAAUUAUUGAUUAUGUUUGGAGUAAAUAAAAAUUAUGUCCUAUAAAAUUAUGGAUGAUAACAUGUAAGUUUAUUAUAUUUCAUAUAUGGUUAUAUGAAAAAAAAUGAUGAAAGAUUUUAUGAAAUGGAAAAAGGAAAAAAAAAGAAAAAAAAAAUGAUGAUGAAAAGUAAAAGCCCGUAAAAGACGAAUUAAGAAAGAAAUGAGAUUUCUAGUAUGAAAACUACAAAAAUUUAUCUUAUGAAAACUCUAAAUGGGGAGUGUAUUUGGUACAGAUGCAUAUCAUUAAGUGAAAACCCAAAAACAAUAGUUUGUUACUUUACUGAAUGUAAACAUUUGCAUCAUGUUUUUAUUUGGAAGAAUGACAUGUAUUAAUUACUUGAAUGACGUCAAUGGUAUGUUUGGAUAUAUUAUUAGAGAUUGAAAUGAUUUAUUUAUUUUGUAAAUUUAGAAUUGUUUGAUAUGUUAUUUAUAUAAUUGAAUAAGAAAUGUGAUAAUUUUGAUUAGUUUAAUUUUAUAUGGUUGAUUUUUUAUUUAAUGACUAUAAUGCAUUGUUUUGAAAAUUGGAUCGGACCAACCGGUUCAAUCGCCAACUGGUGAUCUUUCCGGUUCCAUCCUCUCCUUUAAACCGCUAGAUGGUUGAACCGACCACAAACCACUAUUGGCAGUUGGACCGAUGAACCGCUUGGACCAGGUGGUUUUUCAUGAACUGCAUGGCUCAAUUCCAGCCCAGUCUUCCCCCCAUUUUUUCUUUCAUCCAAAUAGUCCAACCUUCCCCUCCUCUUUUUCAUAGGGUCCAAGUGAAAGCCCAAUAAGCCCAGCCUUACAUCUUAAUGGUCUUUAGGCAAAACCUAAACCCAUUUAAACCCCUCAAUGGGUUGUACCUUUGAACCCAUUAGUUACACAAAUAGCUUGAAUGAACUGUGUUUUACGCGCAUAUUCACAUCCACAUCCAUGUGGGAUUGCUGCUAUUUUAAGUCUAAAGAAAAAGCAACGCCACUUAGCUACAACACAAUUUGAUGCAAGUCUAGAAAAUAAAAAAAUCAGCAUGUGUUUCAAAAAAGAUUAAUAAUAUUAAAUAAAAUAAUAUAAUAUUUUCUGAAAUUAUAAAAUUAGUUAAAGUUAAAUAAUUAAAUUUUUACAUAUUCCAUUUAAUAAAGUUCAAAAUAUUAAUAUAUUUAUAUUUAUAUUUUGAUAAUAUCAAAGAUAAAAAAUAAAUAUUUUUAAUUUUUUAAUUUAUAUAAUAUUAUAUUUUGACAUAUAAUUGUUUUCUAUUGACUUAAAUUUUUUAAUUCAUUUGGGUGUAAAACACCUUACAAAACAAUGUGAAAAUGUUCACCCCUUUAUUUUUAUAAAAUUUUUAGAUACAAAUAUAGUUUAUAAGGAACCAUAAGAAAAUCAAGAAGUGUUCCAAAAAGCCUUAACAAAUAAAAGAAAAAUAAUAAUAAUAAUUUUUAAUUUAUAUUACCUUUUUGACAUGUACUAAUUUGAGUUAUAUGAAUUUUUGUAACUUAAAUUAUAUUUUGUUAUUUUGUAAAAUAUUUUUGGAAAUAUUUUUUACUUAGAUUUAUGUAGAUAUUUGGGUUAAUUUGGGAUUAAAUAUUGAUCUAUUCACUGUCAAAUUGGAUAGGAAUAAACUUUAAGGUCAACCCUUUGACCUGAUAUCACUAGUCGGAUUCUGAGUUGCCUUGGGUGUGACUAUAAUGGAUUUUCUUCUCCAAUGCCUAAACCCUGUCAUGGUUGGAGCGUUUGCAAUACUCGUCCUCUCAUACCACCUGUUAUUAUGGAGGUCUGGAGCUGGUAAGAGCAGAAUGGCACCUGAAGCUUCUGGUGCAUGGCCCAUAAUAGGCCACCUGCACCUGUUAGGUGGAUCUAAGAAUUUGCCUCACUUACUUUUUGGAACCAUGGCCGACAAGUAUGGACCAGUAUUCAGCAUCCGGCUGGGAUUAAAAAGAGCUGUGGUUGUGAGUAGUUGGGAAAUGGCCAAAGAAUGCUUCACCACCCAUGACCUGGCUCUGGCCUCCCGUCCUGAGCUUGUGGCCGCCAAAUAUUUGGGAUAUAACUAUGCCAUGUUUGGUUUAUCUCCUCACGGUGCAUACUGGCGUGAAGUGCGUAAGAUAGCCACUCUAGAGCUACUCUCGAACCGCCGGCUAGAGUUGCUGAAGAAUGUCCGAAUCUCAGAGGUGGAGACAUGCAUGAAGGAACUAUACGAGCUUUGGGCAAAGAAGAAAAGCGAAGCAGGCGUUGUUUUGGUGGACAUGAAGCAAUGGUUUGGGCACUUGUCUCUGAACGUGAUUCUUAAGAUGGUUGUUGGAAAACGAUAUUUCGGUUAUGCAGCCGAAAGUAAAGAGAAAGAGGCCCAGCAGUUCCAGAAGGCGAUUAGGGAAUUCUUUCGUUUGAUGGGACUCUUUGUGGUGUCGGAUGCCAUUCCUUUUCUUGGAUGGCUUGACGUGGGUGGACAUGUGAAAGCCAUGAAGAAGACUGCAAAAGAAUUGGACGGUAUUACUCAGGAAUGGUUAGAGGAACACCGACGGCGAAAAGAUUCGGGUGAAGCUGAUGGUGACCAGGACUUCAUGGACGUGAUGCUGUCCAUUCUGGGUGGUAGAGACACUACUGAUUAUGAUGCUGAUACCAUCAACAAAGCUACAUCCCUGGUAUGCACAUUAUUCCUUUAGCAUCUUUAUAUGGUAGUAAAAAAUGAGACAUAAUUUCAUGCUUUAUCAUCUUUAGUCCAGACUCAAGAGUACUUGGGCCUGGGUUGGAAGAACUUCUUAUUUUUGCUUAGUUUCAAGUUGAAACUAAUCAAAAGCAGCGAUUUUUAAAAGGUAAUUAUAAUAGUGGUGUUAUUAAAGGUCAAACAUAAAUAACUUUUUGCAUAAAUCAAAAUAGAGUUUAUAUAUAUAUAUAUAUAUAAAAUAUUUUUCUGAUCUUCAUAUUAAUUUUUCUAAGUCAUAACUUUUUUGAACAAAAUUAGUCAAACCAUAGAACUCUUGAACUUACAGAAAAGGGCUUUCGAUUUCUUAGAAAUAGAUACAUGAAGAGUUUUGUUAUAUGUUUGUUUUUGUCAAAAGAGUAACAUGAGCAGCUUAGACAAGCAAUUAGAAUGAAAUACAACUGGGCUGAGAAGCUGAGUAGAACUAGAAUUAUGUACAACCUCUUGCUAGGAUAAUUGGGUUGGACUUGUAAUGAUAGAGUUCUCCGUUGGAGUUAGGUGGCCCAAAAAGAUUGUGCUGUUUGAAUAGCUGGUCCUCUAAUUUAGGAAGAGGCAGCCGAAUUUGCAACGCUGGGUGGCUGGGCCCAUAGAAAAUAUUCUUGUCAGAAGAUUGUGAAAGUAUGUUCCUUAGUCCGCAAGGUUUGAGGCCUCUUUGAGUGGGCUUCUAGAGUCGGUUAGACAAUUGGGCCUUUCAAAGGAUUUCCUAAAUUUACAAUUUUUUUAGCCCAACAUGAAUUUUUAUAAAAUGCUAUAUUUAUACGUGAGUUUCAUAUUCAAGCUAAACAUACCCAUUUUGAUUGGAAAAAAAGGGAAAGAACAUGGGGCCUUUUUUCCACCCUUAAUCUUAUCACUACUUUUAAUUUUAUUUUAUUAGUUAAUGGUUUGUAUUUCACAGGUUAUGAUUGGAGGAGGCGCUGACACUACAUCUGGUACUUUAACAUGGGCAGUCUCACUUUUAUUGAACAAUCCACACAUAUUAAGAAAAGCUCAAGAAGAAUUGGAUGCUCAUGUUGGUAAAGAAAGACUAGUAAAUGAAAUGGAUAUAAGCAAGUUGGUUUACCUUCAAGCAAUUGUUAAAGAGACAUUGAGGUUAAAUCCAAUAGCCCCACUUUCAGGACCGCGUCAAUUCAUCCAAGAUUCUAUUUUAGGUGGUUACCAUAUCUCAAAAGGCACUCGUCUUAUAUUGAACCUUACCAAGAUUCAAAGAGACCCGAGAGUAUGGUUGAACCCAAUGGAGUUCCAACCAGAUAGAUUCCUCACCACCCACAAAGAUGUUGAUGUUAGAGGUAAACAUUUUGAGUUGACACCAUUUGGUGGUGGAAGAAGAAUUUGCCCUGGAAUAGUUUUUGCCCUUCAAGUGCUACACUUAACAUUAGCCAACUUCCUGCAUAGAUUUCAACUUUCAACUCCAUCAGAUGCACCGGUUGAUAUGAGCGAGGGUUUUGGAUUAACAAACAUCAAAUCCACUCCACUUGAAGUUCUUAUCUCCCCACGCUUAGCUUCUUAUGAUCUUUAUGAGUAGAAUUUGAGGUCGCUAAGAGACUUAUUUCAAAAAACCUAGUACUAUGAAAUGUGAAAUAAAAAUAAAUUUCAUAGCAUAAGUUUAGUAUUAUUUUAAAAUAGUUACUAAUGUCUGUCCUUUAAUAUUGUCUUAGCUUGAAUUUAAUGAAAAAUAUUUUCGACACUUAUUUUGUGUGGACAAGUAAUGACCCAAUUUCUUGUUAUGUUUCUUCAUUCUUCCAUGAAAGAGAAUUUAGAAGAAAAAGUGGCAUAUAGCAUUACAAUUGAAAAAUUAAUAAGCAUGUACUCCAUAUGCAUAGUAGACUUAAUGAGUUUCCAAGUUGAUUAAUUGGUAUCUCCUUUUGAUAGAUUUCAGCCACCUUUUUGUACAUGAUUAAAGUAGUAAUGGAGACUAAAAUUACAACUCCCAUUUCAUUGUAAAAAGUUGGGAUGUGCAAGGUGGGUCAGUUCAAUUUUGGGCAUUAAAAUCAAAUCGAAUUGAACCCAAAAGAGGAAAAUGAUUAGUUUGACUUGAUUAACAAUAAUCUAAGUUGGUUUAUUUUGCUUCUAUUUAUAACAUCAAUUUUUUUUUUUAAUUUGAACGAAAAUAAUAUUAUUGAAGCAAGUCAUCUUUGGACGGUUGAAAUGAUAUUAUUACAACUAAUUUCAAAUCAUAUUAUUAUAACUUAAUGAUGUGAAUAGGUAUUAUUGUAACCCAUGUCAAUCAUAUCAAAUAGUCCAAGUCAUAGAUAAAAGUUAUAAAGGUGUGAUUGGGAGUUCCAUCCAAUGUGAAAAAUGUAUACCCAAUUAAUGAUGUAACCAAUUGUUAUACUGUAUAUUAUUACUGUGUGUAUAACUUUCAAUUCAAUUCAGUUUGGUUCAUUAAUUUUUUUAAUAGGUAAUUGAAUUGGUAUAACUUGGUUUUAUAUUUAAAAAACCAAAUUUAUUAAAAAAUAAAAUCUUAAAAAAUUAAUAGAUUUGGGUCAAUUUCAUUGAUUUUGCCAAUUGUACACCCUAAAAGAAGGGAUGUCCACUUAUCAUCCAUAAACUUUGUGUACUCCUAAGUUACAAUUUUGCCCCAUGUGAUUCACAUUUGUACUUAUUAUACUCAAUUUUCCGUACAAAUGAUUUAUUAUUUUGCAGAAUUUUACUCCAUGAGAUUCACAUUUGUACUUAUUAUUACCAACUUUGUCUGCUCUUAAGUUACAAUUUCUCCUAAUUAGAUUCACAUGCGUUACUGCCAUAAUUGACUUUCCACAUUUAUGCAUGAAUUAUUAUGUCAAUAGAUGCAUUAUCAUUUUGUCAAGUUAAUCUGACUUAGGUUAAUCACCAAAGGCAAGGUGAAUUAAUUGACUCAAUUUUAAUAAAUUUUAAUUUAACUAAGUGCAAGUAAUAAUAAUAAAACAGUUAAAAAAUACAUAAUUAAAUAACUAAAAAGAAGAGAUAACAGGUACAAACUCCGAUUUAUAUUUUGCUCAAUCCCAUACUCUCCUCAAGCUCUCAAAUGCAAAUUGAGGGUUCCACUAGCUUUUAAGACUUCAAUCAAAUCUUAAUCCUUUACACUUGGAUUCUCAAUUUCAAUGAUCUUUUUACACUUUAAUUCAAGAAAUUCCUCACUCUUGAACAUACUCAAAGGUAACACUUGAACAACAUUGAUCUCACAAAAUUUUAUUUACAAAUAAUAUAAAUGAAAACUUAAAUGGUUUUUCUUGGCUAGGAUUUCUAAGUUAAUAAGGAUUUUUGCAUUAAAAAGAAAUAGUUAAAAUCAAUUGGGUUUUGUAAGAUUUUGAUAUAUAUCUUAGUUUGCGAGUUUUUUGGGAUUCUAUUAUAAUCUUAUUGUUUUAUCCUAAAAUUGUCAAAAAAAGAAAUCAGUAAUUUAGUAUGGCAAUUUUACUCCAAAGAUUAUUGAUUAAAAAUUAUUUUACUAAUACCAACGUGUAAGAGUUAAAGGCAUAAAAUUGAAAUUAAAGUAAGUUUAUUAUUUUGGAUUUGGUUAAGUAAUGACAAGAUUAAUAAUUGAAAUUAAUGUAAAAAGAAGUGUAAAAACUUUAAAAGUUUAAAAUAUCAUUUCAUUAUUAAUUAGUUUCCACUUGCCAACAUAGACUUCUCAUUCUAUUCAAACAAGUUUUUUGUACUUUUAUAUAUAUAUAUAUAUAUAUUUCAUAAACUUAACAAAGGAUACAAACAACAAAAGAAAAAAAAAAUUGAGCUACUAAACCUCAAUAUAAAUUUGGGGUGAAUUAUCAAGGUCUAUUAAGGAGCAUGGGGAAGUGUUGUAUCACAUAUCGAUGUGAAGAAGGUGUAUAUAUAUUUAUAGUAUAGGACCUAAGAUGUGAACGUUUCUUUUAAAGUUAGGUAAACAUUUCUUUCAAAAUUAAUGGAAUCUCACUAUGAUUUAUAUACACAUGCUUUCAGUGUCCAUAGAGGUUGAAAUAAUACGAUGAUUUUUAACUUAUAUCUUGCUUUUUAUAUGUGAUUUAAUAUUGUUUUGGAUUAUUGAUUAUGACUCAUGAAUUAUCAUGCAUGGAACUAAUCAAAAUGAUAUAAUUAAAUUAUAUUAAUGAAUUUGAGAUAGACAUGACAAUUAUUAAUUUAAAAUAUCUUAUAUGAACAUAAAAUUUUAAAUAUAGACUCAUAAUUUAUAUAUAUUAAUAUAAUAAAGUUGAAAAACUACGUUUAUCUCAAAUUUAUGCCUAGGGCCCAAAUUUUGCUGAGAGCCAGCCGGAUGUCAUCACAUGCAAGAAAGCUAGGAAACAAAGCUAAAGUUUGCUUCUUGUGUGGGAAGAGGUACUUCCGUGCUUGACUGAAAGAAAGGAUUUUCUACAAGAAAAAUUGUCCCCUUGUUUGUAAAGCCUCAAGUUGCGACAGCAAUAACGACAAAAGUAGGCCAAAGAAUUUGUCAUUAUUAUGAGACUAGAGAGGUUUUACUGAGAAGUUUUCCGAGCGUGAUAUCAGCAUUCGCUGUAUCACAGUGAUACAACAAAUGGUUUGAACACAGUGAUCUAGAACCCAUUAGCUCAAAUUUCAUUGAUCUGAACACGAUGAUCCUCAUCCGCAGACCAUUUUAGGGAAUGAUUAAUUCGAGCGAUUUUUUAACUGCCUGUACGAAGAACUUUAUCAAAAUUGGAUUCAGUGUAUCUUAACCAAUCUUGAUCAGUAUGCGACUGAUGAUUCUAUUUGAUAAAAGUAAUGCGGUGGCCCAACUUUAUCUUAAUUUCUAUGUUGAAAGUAACCAUAUAUUAUUCUAUAAUUAUAAAUAUAUACUGUGGAAUCAAGAUAACUUUGAUAUGCUAAGGAUCAAAAGAGGGCAGCCACUUUAGUAGUGGAUUAUACUAAAUAAAGCUGAUCGAUUAUUACAUUGGAAAAUAACAUUGAACCUAUCAUGAAAGACAACCCUACUGGACCAUGCCCCGAGUACUAAAUGCUGAUAAAAAACAAGUACAUGUUCCAAAGGAAUUGAGUCCAUAUAUACACAUUAGUGCUCAAAGAGAAAAACUAUAUAUCCACCGCUUAACUACAGUGAUCCUUUGAGCAGAAGAAGCUAGCCAUGUAUUUCCUUCUCCAAUACCUAAACAUCACCACGGUCGGAGUCUUUGCCACACUUUUCCUUUCCUACUGUCUAUUAUUAUGGAGGUCUAGAGCUGGUAACAAAAAAAUAGCACCUGAAGCUGCUGCUGCAUGGCCCAUAAUCGGUCACCUACACCUGUUAGCUGGUGGUUCUCAUCAGCUUCCCCACAUAACCUUGGGAAACAUGGCCGACAAAUAUGGACCGGUCUUCACAAUUCGGAUUGGGUUGCAUCGAGCUUUGGUGGUAAGUUCUUGGGAGAUGGCUAAAGAAUGCUCGACCGCCAAUGACCAGGUUUCAUCCUCGCGUCCCGAACUUUUAGCCUCAAAACAUUUGGGCUACAACUACGCCAUGUUUGGUUUCUCUCCAUACGGUUCUUACUGGCGUGAAAUGCGCAAGAUAAUCAGCCUAGAGCUACUCUCUAACAGCCGCUUAGAGCUGCUGAAGGACGUCCGAGCUUCAGAAGUGGUGACAUCCAUAAAAGAGCUAUACAAGCUCUGGGCAGAGAAAAAAAAUGAAUCGGGCCUUGUCUCUGUGGAGAUGAAGCAGUGGUUUGGAGACUUGACUCUGAACGUAAUUCUUAGGAUGGUGGCAGGGAAGCGUUAUUUCAGUGCUUCAGAUGCAAGUGAAAAUAAACAGGCGCAGAGGUGCCGGAGAGUGUUCAGGGAAUUCUUUCAUUUGUCAGGGCUCUUUGCGGUGGCGGACGCUAUUCCAUUUCUUGGAUGGCUCGACUGGGGGAGACAUGAGAAAACCCUAAAGAAGACAGCAAUAGAAAUGGACAGUAUUGCUCAAGAAUGGUUAGAGGAGCACCGUCGGAGGAAAGACUCCGGUGAUGAUAAUAGUACGCAAGACUUCAUGGAUGUGAUGCAGUCAGUUCUUGAUGGCAAAAACCUUGGUGGUUACGACGCUGAUACCAUCAAUAAAGCCACAUGCAUGCCUGGUAUGAGUUAUUAAUGAAGCACCCACGUACCAUUUAUAUUUGCAUAUUAUCAGGGCUAGCUUCUUUUCCACAGACAGUUUUUCUUUUGUUUAUAUGUUUUAAUUGAUGCAUAUUCACUUUCUUCUUCUCUUAAUUAAAUUGCAAUAAUUAAACAUACAAUUUAAAUAAAUUUUAAAUUUUAUUUUUAACUAAAAACAAAAGUAUACAUAUACAAAUAUAUAUUGCUUAAGCAAUUAAUUUUUAAAAAUUAUUCUUUCAGAACACCUUAGACAAGUUGAGACAUGCUUCGAGGGAAAUCUAAAUAUAAUGAUUUUAAAAGCUACUUUGUAAUUUUAUUUUCGAGCAUGUUGCAUAAUAUAUGCUUUCCUUGAAUUGAUUUUCUAAAUUUUAUUUUUGUCAGCAAGAAAGGGUUAUCUACGUUUUGGAAGUUAUCUUUAAUUUCCCCUGCAAAGAAUAAGUGUGUGGACCCUGCAUUUCGGCUCAAUGCGUUUCCCACUCGAUGGCGAGCUCGAUUUUUAUUUGAAAAAUGAUUUUUAUUGAUUAUUUAGAAAAUGACUUGGAGUCGCCACUUAUUUUUGUUUUAUUUUUAAAGGGUAAACAAAAUAAGAAAGAAAAACCCUAAGUGUGACUCCUUAUUUUGGAAAAGGUGGUCUGUGAAAAACUGAAUCGGGUUCAGGGGUCAGGUUACUUAUUGGGAAGGUACGGUAUGGACCGUAGCACCCCUCUAAGUCCCUAAAGUCGGGUCUCUACUAAUGAGAUGAAGCUGACAUGGCAAUCAAUGAGAAAAUCAAUGAAUACUCGAAUCAAUCAUGCACAUAUGAGAGACAAAGCAUGUAUAAAGAAUGAGCAAAAUAUGAAUAGAUGCGUACCUGGGCGACAAUCACGAAUGCGCUAUCAUGAAACAUGGUUAGUGAACAAUAAACAUAUAUAAUUAAGCGCAUAUCAAGGAAUAGAGUAAAUCAAUCAUGCAUGACAAAUAAAUCAAUCAAUCAUGGAAUCUCAUAUGUAGGGCCCCCACCAAAACCCAAUUCAUUUUUGCAUGAAUCAAUUCCAUAAAUUCCAUCACUUGGAAUUACGGAAUUUAAUUCUUACUUAUUUUUAAAACAUUUUAAAAACCAAGAAAAUGCACAAGUGGCUUGCCGGAAGGAAAAUGGCAACCAAAUUUUAUUGAAAAUGGGAUUUAAGAAGAUUAUUUUCAAGAAAACAGGGGAUGAGAGAAUAGAAGGAAAUGGCACAUGGUCAAGAGCUGCAUGCCUAAGGUGGCCAUGCAAAAACACUUCCCUCUAAGCUCAGGGUGGAGGGACUGCACUAUAAGGAUCAGUGGUGCUGCAGAGCUUGUCAGAACAGCUGAUGGCAUCAUAGGUGUUGCUCCUGAUUGCCUGAAAGAAUUCAUCUCUAAUGGACGGAAUCGAUUGCUCUACAUGAUUAUUCCAGAAGGUAAUGGUUGAGUCCUUAGCUUCACGAACCCAAUUUUUUAUGUCAUUACUUCCCAUCAAACUACCAUGACAUAGGAGCCACACUGAGCAAACUGAUGAGCCCGCUGCCCCACAUGUAUAGGGAAUCCAGUACAAAGUUAAUUUCCGCGGUUUACGAUGUUCGGAAACAAGGAUACUUAGGUAAGAAUCCAGCUUAUACAUGAUAAAUCACGNNNNNNNNNNNNNNNNNNNNNNNNNNNNNNNNNNNNNNNNNNNNNNNNNNNNNNNNNNNNNNNNNNNNNNNNNNNNNNNNNNNNNNNNNNNNNNNNNNNNGUGGAUGCCGCCUAUGAUACUAGCCUCAGAAAUCAUGCCAUUGACAUCGUUGUGCUUGUUACUAUUGCCAUCUCUAUCUCACAUGUGAGAGCCCUUGAUGGAAUCAAUUAAAAUAAUCCUUGAUAGAAACGUGGACUUCAUGUCUCAAAUCUGGCCUUUCAUAUCUCCUCAUUUGUCCAUGUCAACUAUUGUCACCAAGCCAUAAGCCUCUUGAUCCCAUGAUAACCCCAUUAUUCAACCCAAUACUUCAAUGAUGAUUCUCUUUCAUUUGCAUUCCUGACCUUCUCUUAUCUCCAUUACUGAUCCCAUGGAUGUUUACAGGAUUGAGUAUUUGGACGAGAGCAAACUUUGAUUAGAACCCUGUAUCAUGUUGAGUCUCUGCCAGCCUGGAAGGAUAAAAAUCACGUUGCCCCAUAUGGUGAGUUUUACUUUGAUUUACUCUUCCUCCUUGAUUCGUAUAAUGCAAGAAGGACAGGAGUUAAAAUGUCACGGAUAGCAUGAUGGCAAUGCCCAAAAGUAGCGUCAGUGUACAUUUGAGUCAAACGCGACUCCAUAUCAAACAUUGGCGGCCAGCGUCCAAGUCAAAGGGACGUAGUGCCCAUAAUUCACUGUUGAUAUUCUUCUUUCUGGGGAUGGAACAGAUCCAACUUCAAGGAUUGGGUGAGUCUCCUAAGAACUUUUCAUAAGGAUGGAUGACUGCCCAACAAUGCACUCAGGUUCCAUCAUUGCAAAGCCUCAACAGACUGCAUGCACCAUUCGUCGCGUACCUCACGACAAAUGUGAGUCUGGUUAAUCCCGUAGGAGGACUCCAAGCAGCAUGCAUAACGUACCUCUUCGGAAUAUCACAACGAGACCCACUGGUGCCCUCGUCUGAAUACCCCUCCGCCUCUCAUUCAAGUAAUGGGUGUUGGACCCAUGUAUGCAUGCAAAGAUGGAGGAGUGAAGUGGUGAGAGAAAGGAUGUAUGGAUUUAGCUGCGAGUAAGGUCACGGGUAUGGGAGGAUGGAUGCGGUGAAGACCUUUGAGGGUGAUGAAAAAUGGUGCAUGGAGUAAGAUAGGCUAAAGUGGAAAUGCGUGGUAGAAUGGGCAUAGGAGUAUCAUGAGAGAAGUGUGCAGGGACUACAUGCAUGUGGGUGGCUAGGGAAGUAAAAGAUGGGUUCAACAGUGAAACGUAUGGGAAUGAUGAGAGGGAAAGCGGAUUAGCAGAUGGGGUUAAUGAGUGAUAUGAAGAAUGGGGUAUGAGACCUGGGUAUAAGGUGAAAUGAAUAUGACAUGGUUAUGCAUGGCCAUGCCAUGGCCAUGCAAGAACAUGAUGGAAAGGGAGUGACGGAUGUAUGAAUAAUGGAGAGCAUGAGGAGGUAUGGGAUAGAUGAACAGGGCUGGAUGGUGGAUGAUGAAUAAGUAAUGGUGAAAUGGGUAUGAAAGAGUUUGAAGAGAGAGAAAAGGUGGUAAUGUGGAAUGGGUUUGAUAGGUGGGAGUACAAAGUGGGUAUGAAGAUGGGUAUGAAUGGUUUAGUAGGUACGAGACAAAUGGGUUAGAUGGAGGGUAUAAUGGGUGAUGUAAUGAUGGAAACCCGGGCGUUUAUUCAUCUUUGGAGGCACGAUACCCGGGUCAUGAACAGAUGGAUCACACUUCUUGGCCAGCUGCAUUCAGGCCAUAGUCAAUACAACCGACUUCGCUACCUCCAUUUCCAGGCACAGUGAUUGACACAAAGGAAGGUAACUUCCCAAUAAUCAAGCUUCUUUCGAUACAAGGUCUGCAUGGCUUAGCCGAGUUCAGUUUAGUUGGGUGUCGAAUCCCAUUGGUCAGUAGACCCAUUUGGAGCGAAACUGAACCCUUUAAUCCAAAUGGACCGUUACAGAGAGCACAAAGCAGCAGUAGGAUUAGCAAGACCCAGAGCAUAAGAGCGGGCUGUGACCAUGGCAGAGAUUCCAAAUUAGAAAGCAAGCACAAAACCAUCCAUGGAAGAGGUUAUCCAAGGUUUUGGAUGCUUAUGAAGUUUUCCCGCAAGUUGAACGAAUCUGUAACAGAGUGCCUUCUGAUCUAACCUGCAUAGUUUCAACAUGUACCACACCAUCCCCAUUCACGGUACCUCCAAUCACUAUGUCACCCUUCUUUCUUCGCCAUAGGCCUAGCAUCCUCUGUGAGCAUGUUCUUGAACCCACAAUCUCCCGCUUUACCUCAUGGAAACAUGUCAACCAAAAUAGCCCACCCAUCAAGUGACUGAUUCAACUCUGAUACCCGACAUCUCAGAUGCACCAACAACAGAAGCACAAAAGGGUAGGAAAUGGGGCCAAAACAGAAAAGAACGAAGGAAGGAUAAACGAGGAAUAAAGUAAAACAUAAGUGUAUAGAGCCUCAUUUCAGGUGACAUCCAUGGGCUUAUACAAGUGAGGAGAUCUCAAGUUAGAGUUACAGAAUAUAUGAGGAACCGAGUUCUAUUAACUCCAAGCCAAACCACAAGAACAGCAGUAAAAUCAACAACAAUAGAGUAUAAAAACGAUCCAGAAAUCAACAAAAUUCAGUACGUAUGACCCAACUCAAAUUGAUGAGCAAUGCAGAGCAAACCAAAAUGAGAAAAGGGUGAGAAAAAUAUGAAUCAAAGUAAGCAAGAAACUCACCUCAAACUCACCUGCAGACGCUCCUCUCUCUAUUCCUUCAUUCUCUAAGCUUCAGCUAGCCAAAAACAACGCCCAGAAUCUCCGUCACACAGCCACCCAAAACCUCCUCCUCUGCAGCCUCGAACCUCUCUGCCAACAAACAGCAACCAAAAGCACCUCCCCCUCUCGGAAACUUCUUUCUCCCUAAAAAAAAACUCUCAGACCAGCCUCUCUAAAGCUCCCCCUCUCUCAAGUUCACCGUCCAAAAUUACUCCUCUCAUGGAAAAACUCCCUGGAAUCCCCUCAGCAGCCCCGGUACCUCCAGCUAAAAGAAAAUCACCCCCCCCGGUUCUCAUGUCUCUCUCACCUUUUUUUCUCUCUAGCCAAAACCAGCUUUCUUUUCCUCCCUUUGGAAAUAUCUCCCUAACGGCCAGACGACACCCACCUGCCUUGCAGCUGCAAGCCUCCACUCCCCCCUAUGCAGCUGGCAGCCUCCCAAAAUCAACCCAACAAAAGCUCUUCCCCUAAAGAUUUCUGCCACCUUCCUCUUCUAGGCAAUAUCUCUUUUCUGUCCCGGAUUUGCCCCUCCAACAAUCCCUGUAGCCACCUCCAGCACCACUACACUCUGCAUGCAACUGGCAACACCUCCUAACGGAAAGCACGCUCCCUUCUUCUAGAAUGUUCUUCACUUUCCAGGUGUCUUCCUCUUAUUAGUCCAUCAAUUCCACCAUAGUGAUUCCACUAGUAGCCAACCCGAGAGUGACACGUGGCCAUGCGAGAUGGUGACACUUGUCCAGCAUCAGCUGCAAGAAUGACUCCCAAAAUGGGGGUCUACAACUAUGCCCAUUUUCGGUAGAGUUCACAAGUGUAAGGAAAAUGAACACUGGAAUGAAAGGUAGGUGUGAAUAGUGAGUGGAAUGAAGUGAACUCUACCGAAGAACCAAGGAGACCCCCAUAGGGACACUAGCAAAACACGAAUUCGCUCAGGCUGACAGACUGACACAAAGGCUCUGAUCCUAAAACAAAAUGAUGUCUCAAAAUGCCUCUGAGGCCAUACUAAGGAUCCAAGCUCCCUUUAACAUGCCUCCAAAAGUGACCCGAAGAUCGAUGUCAAAAGUGAGUAACGGUCGAACCACCCUGGAGUACGAACAAGAAUGCGUCUAAAGGAGACUGCCCUAUGUGGACUAUGAGAUGAAUAGGUGAUAAGCACAGGGUAACGAGGUGAGAAGAGUGAGAAUAAGUGCAAAUCCAUGAAGGUGAGAUGCGCAAUGCCAGUGAAUAUGAACGCUAGGGGCUGCGACUCUGAAUGACGAGACUGACCCUAAACGCUAAACUGAGAAAAACAAUGGCUCUGGAAGCCAGACCAAAAACUAACUCUAAAAACUAAACUAGAAUAACAGCUCUGGAAGUCAACCAAAAACUAACUCUAAAAGCUAAACUAGAAAACAACAGCUCUGGAAGCCAACCAAAAACUAACUCUAAAAACUAAACUAGAAAAUAACAGCUCUGGAAGCCAACCAAAAACUAACCCUAAAAGCUAAACUAGAAAACAAACAGCUCUGGAAGCCAACCAAAAACUAACUCUAAACUAGAAAAUAAUAGCUCUGGAAGCCAAACUGAAAACUAACUCUAAAAGCUAAACUAGAAAACAACAGCUCUGGAAGCCAAACCAAAAACUAACUCUAAAAACUAAACUAGAAAAUAACAGCUCUGGAAGCCAACCAAAAACUAACCCUAAAAGCUAAACUAGAAAGUAACAAACAGCUCUGGAAGCCAACCAAAAAACUAACUCUAAAAACUAAACUAGAAAAUAACAGCUCUGGAAGCCUAAACAAGUCGACAGUAACGACUCUGGAAGCCUAAACAAGAUGAUAGUAAUGGCUUUGGAAGCCUAAACAAGAUGACGGUAACGACUCUGGAAGCCUAAACAAGAUGAUAGUAAUGGCUCUGGAAGCCUAAAUAAGAUGACGGUAAUGGCUCGGAAGCCUAAACAAGAUGACAGUAACGACUCUGGAAGCCUAAACAAGAUGAUAGUAAUGGCUCUGGAAGCAUAAACAAGAUGACAGUAAUGACUCUGGAAGCAUAAACAAGAUGACAGUAAUGGCUCUGGAAGCAUAAACAAGAUGACAGUAACGACUCUGGAAGCCUAAACAAGAUGAUAGUAAUGGCUCUAGAAGCCUAAACAAGAUGAUAGUAAUGACUCUAGAAGCCUAAACAAGAUGAUAGUAACGACUCUGGACGUCGAAACUAAAAAGUGAUGAUGAUGACUCUGAACGUCAAACUGAGAAGUGAUAACGACUCUGAACGCCAAAACCGAGGAUGCGACUCUGAAUGUCGAUCUGAAAACCGAUGAUGGCUCUGAACGCCUAAACUGAGAAAUGAUGAUGAUGACUCUGAACGUCAAACUGAGAAGUGAUAACGACUCUGAACGCCGAAACCGAGGAUGCGACUCUGAAUGUCGAUCUGAAAACCGAUGAUGGCUCUGAACGCCGAAACUGAGAAGUGAUGAUGAUGACUCUGAACGUCAAACUGAGAAGUGAUAACGACUCUGAACGCCGAAACUGAGGACGCGACUCUGAAUGUCGAUCUGAAAACCGAUGAUGGCUCUGCACGCCGUAACUGAGAAGUGAUGAUGAUGACUCUGAACGUCAAACUGAGAAGCAAUGAUGAUGACUCUGAACGUCAAACUGAGAAAGUGAUAACGACUCUGAACGCCGAAACCGAGGAUGCGACUCUGAAUGUCGAUCUGAAAACCGAUGAUGGCUCUGCACGCCGUAACUAAGAAGUGAUGAUGAUGACUCUGAACGUCAAACUGAGAAGCAAUGAUGAUGACUCUGAACGUCAAACUGAGAAAGUGAUAACGACUCUGAACGCCGAAAUCGAGGAUGCGACUCUGAAUGUCGAUCUGAAAACCGAUGAUAGCUCUGAAUGCCGAAACUGAGAAGUGAUGAUGAUGACUCUGAACGUCAAACUGAGAAGUGGCUCUGAACGCCGAACUGAAAAAUGUGACAUGAUGACUCUGAAUGUCGUAAACCGUGAAUGAACGGCGACUCUGAACGCCAGACUGCAAGGAAACAAUGUGGGGGAAAUAUGCCCCAGUGUGACAUGCCGCUGCAAAUCUCAAACUGCUAGAAAUGGCUAAAAGGGACUCUACGAGUCUCGAAAGACGCACCACUAAGAGCUCAUGUCAAUGAAGAGCUCAGGAACAACGGUCAGUGAGGCGAAUACAAUAUAUCUCGGCCGAGUGAUGGAAACCGCGACGGACAUGUGAGAGAACGAUCGCCUCCAUGGCUAAAUGAGGGAAAUACGCCCCAGUAUGGCAUCAGAUGUACCCGAUCUGCCCUGAUGACCCGAGAAUAACACCAUGGGGAUGCAUAAAAGACCUGAUGUGUACCGCACUGAAAUGAUGACAUGGGGAUCCAAGCACUCGACAUAACCCCAUCCAGGAAUCACGACUAUAUCAAAGAGUAUGAAUCUGGCUGAACGAGUCAAGAGAGGCUCCUCGGAGUAUCAGGACAAAAUGAAAUCAAUCAUCAACCUGGCGUGUAUCUCAUAACUGUGGAUGAUCAUGUAAACCAGUGGGGAUCUAUAAAUCUCGAUCAAGAUGGGGAAUAUGCCCCAGUGUGGCAUCGGAAAUGUAACAUGUCGAAAAAUCAGCUGAGCUCAAAUCAUCUAUGCCUGCAACUAGCUAGAUGGCUCUCGAUAGGCUCCACUAAGGAAUCAUCGCGAGGAUAGCGAAUAUAUCAUCAUCCCUGUAUACAUCUCGCAAAUAAGGAUAAGCACGCAACUUCCUCAUGAUCUGUAAAUCUCAUCCGAACGGAAAUAUGCCCCUGUAUGGCAUCGAAAUGUAGGAUAGGUCGGAGAUCAGAUAGCAUGGAAUCAUCUAUCUUAGAACAUGUGACCUCUGCGAAAAUCCAUAAAGAUCCUCCGAAACGGAAUAUGCCCCAGUAUGGCAUCUGACGUGCGACAAACCAGGAAAAACAGGUGACAUCGAAUCAUCCCUCAUCAAACACGUGAUCCUGGUAAUCCAAACACGGUCGAAACGGAUCUAAACAUCUGAGAAGUGUUUCUCAGAAGAAGAUGCAUGGCAAAUAUCUGGAUGUCAACUGAAUCUCAAACACCUGUCCACAUAGAAGCCGUAGAAGACGAUAUCUGAUCCCAUGGCCUCAGGGUGGUCUUAAGACACAGGACGUAAUGUAGGCUAGGGUGAUAGGGUGAUAGAAACGAAGGGAAACUAAGCUCAAAUACCCAAUGAUCAAAACCCAUGCCCUCGUGUGUGAAAUGCAACAUGUACAGAAAAUCCUGUGAGCCCUGGACCUGAGGGUGUCUAAUGUGAAUAUGAUGUCAAUGAGGAAACAAGUGAAGCAAAUCAAACUGAUAAUGAGAUAUGUAAUGGUGAUACGAAGGGAAUAUCAAACCCGAGAUGGGUCUGGUAAGAAAAGAAUGAGAAGUGAAGUGAGAAUGACGAAUCAGAAGCGAAAACGAGGACGAUGAUAAUGAAGCGAAUAACAUCAAAAGGAGUGAUGAUCAACUCAGAUCAGACAUGGAGUGAUGUCACAUCAACUACGAACAUAAUGAUGGAACGUACAAUAACGCAGAGCUCCUAAGAGAAAGUCACUCAUCUCGCUCACAAAAUAUGCAACAAAAUGAAUACAAAGCCUGAGGGAUCCAGGGAAGCUCACAUACGAACUCCCGUCAACAAACAUACUCGAUCAAGUGACCCUCGAAUAUCAAUACAUACACUCAGUGAUGGAUAACAAAACACACUUGAUUUUUAUUUCUUUUUCCAUUUUUUUUUUUUCAUUUUUUUCAUUCAUUUUUUUUUUUUUUUACAACAUAUAAAUGAACUGUACAUGAUCUGAAUGCAUACAAAGAAGACCCAAAGACGGGAUCAAAAAUGAAUAAACAUGCCCUCAAAUAUCAAUAUAUCACAAACUCAAUCUAAUGAGAUGAGGUGACCUUCUCAAACUGAGGAUCCCUGGAUCAGUGUCCGUGGGAUAGAUAGUGGAAAUGGCGUGACUACCCUCCAUGUGAUGAAAUGAGGAGGAUCACCCCUCGGGGUGAAAGAAGAUGACAUGAAACGAAUAGUAGAUAAGAUAAAGAAAAUAUGAUGAAUAACACGAACAGUGAGAUGAGAUGAAAUGCAAUGAUGCAGUGGUGAGCACAGAUAAUGAGAAGAACGUGCCCCUAGGUCCAAGGCUCAUGAAACUCUCAAACAAUGCAUGCAUACACUAAAGGGCCCCAAUCCCGGUGUGAAAAUGUGAGCAAGGCUAUAGAAAAUGAAGGCUAUGAUGCGCGUGUGAGGCUCAAAUGGGCUAGCAAUGGACUAUAUAUAUCAGAAACGGGAUAAAGGGAUAUAGCUAACCGAAAUGAUGGCCACCCAUCCUGCGACCAUGGACUCAAACGUAGUACCUCUUUAGCUGAUCCACAUUGGUCGGCUCUGAGAACUGGUUUCCAUCUAAAUCCAUCAGCCAUGCAGCGCCCUCUGGAGUCAACUUCCUGAUGAAAUAAGGUCCGCUCCAACUAGGUCUGAACUUCCCUCUAGGAUCUCUGAUCAAUCCUCUGAUGACUCUCAAAACUAAGUCACCUACAUGCAGUGGUCUAGGCUUGACCUGCUUUUUGAAAGCGCGGGCCAUCUUCCUCUGAUAUGCACGAACGUGGUCUGCUGCUCUCAAUCUCCUCUCAUCUAGGAGAUUGAGCUGAUCAAAUCGAGCCUGAGCCCAAUCCGUCUGGGGAAUCUGCUGCUCUAGUGCUACUCUCAAUGAUCCCAUCUCAAUCUCAACAGGUAGCACUGCCUCCAUGCCGUACACCAAUGAAUAGGGUGUGGCUCCUGUAAAGGUGCGAAAAGAAGUCCGAUAUGCCCACAAUGCGAAAGGGAGCUUCUCUGACCAAUCCCGAGAAGUCUCAACCAUCUUUCGCAAUAUCCUCUUAAUAUUCUUAUUCGCGGCCUCUACUGCCCCAUUCGUCUGCGGCCUGUACGCAGACGAUCUAUGAUGCCGGAUGCCGUAUCUCUGCACCAAGGUGUCAACCUCUGCUCUGAAAUGCACCCCUCUGUCUGAAAUAAGCUCGUGAGGGACUCCAUAGCGACAAAUGAUGUGCGAUCUAAUGAAACUGACAACUCCAGAUGACGUCAAUCUCGCAUACGAGGCGACCUCCACCCACUUGGUGAAGUAAUCAAUAGCAACAAGGAUAAACUCAUGACCACUGGAAGAUUUCGGUGAAAUCUUCUCGAUGAUAUCGAUACCCCAUACUGAAAACGGCCAUGGUGAAGUCAAUGCAUGCAACUCCGAGGGCGGCACGUGAAUGAGAUCUCCAUGUAUCUGACACUCGGGACAUCUCUGAACGAACUGGCAACAAUCUGUCUCCAUGGUCAACCAAAAGUAUCCUGUCCUCAUGAUCUUACGGGCCAACAUAUGCCCCCCAUAUGUGGUUCGCAGACUCCCGCAUGAACCUCUCGCAUAACUCUAUCGGCAGAAGCGCGAUCCAAACAUAAUAGCAGUAUCCCAUCAAAUGAUCGUCUAUAUAGCGUCUCGCCACAAAUCACGAAUCGGGUGGCCAACUGUCUCAAUGCCCUCCUAUCCUUGGCCGUGGCGGCCUCAGGAUAUAUGCCGAGUCUCAAAAAGUGAUAUAUGUCAUGAUACCAGGGCAAACCAUCGUCUAUCUCCAUAUCAUCAAUCAAACAACAAUACGCAGGAGCAGAUCUCGACUCAAUCAACAAAGGGCGAACAGUGGCAUCAGCGGGAAUGUCGAUCAUGGAAGCUAGAGUAGCUAAAGCAUCAGCAAACUGGUUUUGCGCUCUAGGCAGAUGUGUAUAUCUCAAAUCCUCAAAUCUCGCGACCAGUAGCUCCAAAUACGCGUGGUAAGGCCUAAGCUUCACAUCUCUAGUCUUCCACUCGCCUUGAAUCUGUCUCAAUACCAGAUUGGAGUCACUAAACACCUCCAUCUGUCUAAUCCCAAGCUCGAGGGCUGUCUCUAACCCCAAGAUACAUGUCUCAUACUCAACAAUGUUGUUCGUGGCUGGAUGUCGAUCCGAGAAUGCCAAACGAACAGAUCUGGGAAUGUGAUCACCAUGAGGGGAUAUCAACAAAACGCCUAUCCCGUAUCCAGAAUGGUUGGCUGCACCAUCAAAGUACAUGCGCCAACCCGACAGACUAGUCGCAGCUGCGACGUCCUCGUCUGGAAAAUCAUCGUCAAUAGCUCUGGCAUCAGAAACUGGUAAUGAGGCUAAGUGAUCUGCGACAAUGCUCCCUCUGAUGGACUUCUGAGUGACAUAAUGAAUGUCAAACUCAGUCAGAAGUACCAGCCAUCUCAUAAGGCGACCAACUAGAGCGGGCCUGUCAAACAAAUAUCUCAAAGGAUCAAGACGAGAUAUCAAAUGCACUGAAUACUCGGUCAUGUAAUGUCUCAAUCGGCGAGUGGCCCAAACCAAUGCCAAGCAGUAGCGCUCAAUCGUGACGUAUCUCGUCUCGUAAUCUAGCAUCCUCUUGCUCAGAUAAUAAAUGGCUCGAUCUUUGCCCGAAUCAUCGAGCUGAGCUAACAUGCAACCUAAAGCCACAUCCGAAACUGAUAGGUAUAGGAGUAGAGGAUGGUCUGGUGUAGGCGGAGCCAAAACUGGAGGCGACAACAAGUACUCUCGGAUCCUCUCAAAUGCGCGCUGACACUGAUCAUCCCAAACAGUAGGUUGACUCUUCCUCAAGAGUCGGAAAAUGGGCUCACAAAUGUCUGUCAAUCUGGCUAUGAAUCUACUGAUGUACUGAAGUCUGCCCAGGAAGCCUCUGACCUCUCUCUCUGUCCUCGGUGCAGGCAUGUCAAGGAUGGCUCUAAUCUUGUCCGGAUCUACCUCUAUGCCUCGCUCACUGACCAUGUACCCCAAGAGUUUCCCAGAAGUCACUCCAAAAGUGCACUUCUUGGGAUUCAGCCUCAAUCUAAAUUGUCUGAUCCUCUCAAAGAACCUCUCAAGAGCUGCCAAGUGAUCUGAUCUAUCUCGGGAUUUCACUAUCAUGUCGUCUACAUAAACCUCGACAUCCCGAUGCAUCAUGUCAUGGAAGAGUGUGGUCGCUGCUCUCUGAUAGGUGGCUCCUGCGUUCUUCAAUCCGAAUGGCAUGACUCUAUAGCAAUAAGUACCCCACUCGGUAAUGAAGGACGUCUUCUCCAUGUCCUCUGGAGCCAUCAAGAUCUGACUAUACCCGGAAAAUCCGUCCAUAAAGGACAACAUCGAGUGACCUGCUGUACUGUCAACUAACAUGUCGAUGUGUGGGAGAGGAAAAUCAUCUUUAGGACUGGCCUUGUUGAGAUCUCGGAAAUCAACACAGACUCUCACCUUGCCGUCUUUUUUGGGAACAGGGACGACAUUGGCCAGCCACUCUGGGUACUCGACUACUGAUAGAAAUCCUACACUGAGCUGCUUCUGAAUCUCCUUUUUCACCUGCAAGCUCCAACGAGGGUGCAAUCGUCUCAACCUCUGCUUAACCGGUCUGGCAUGGGGCAGAAGUGGCAAACGAUGCUGGACGAUGGAUGGAUCAAGGCCCGGCAUGUCCUCAUAGGACCAUGCGAAAACGUCCAAGUAGGAUCUGAGCAGCUGGAUGAGACUAUCUCUCUCAUCUGAGGAUAAAUCUGACCCGAUCCUCAACUCCCUAGGCUGAUCUGCGGUGCCGAAAUCAACAAUCUAUGUGUCUCCUACAGCAGGUGAAACCCUCUGAUCAACGGGAUCCGAAUCGGAAACAGAAGAUGAGUCAUCAUCUGAGUCGUGCUGUGCAAUCUCAUCAUCAAUAUCAAAAAUCUGUGAUGUGGGUGAAGAUGGUGCAGAUAAAUCAAUAUCACAAGAGACAGGCAGGUACUAAAAAAUGCUCAAAUCCAUAGAUGAAACAUCGGAAACAAUGUCAGAACGGGAGACAAACCCCGACUGAACGUCAAAUGAAAGAGGUGGGUCCACAAAGUCGGACGCUUCCUCAACAAUGCCAACAUGGCUAUCAAUCAAAUCAUAAAAAACUAUAGCAUCCUUAGUAAUCUCCAGAGCAGGGGCUGUCUGGAUCUCCUCAACGAUCUCGAUGAAAGACACCCCGAAAAGAUCGAAUGGUGAAGUGAGCCCAGGAUGAACUCUCUCCUCGAUCGGGCCCAGGCUCAGGGCGAGCAUCUCGUCGAUGUACUCGUCGUGUGGGACGGCUCCGUCCACUAUGUCUCCGACCCCAGCAAAGGUCUCAUGCUCAUCGGUCUCGUCCGGGAAGCAAAGCGUUAUAAGGCUCGUGCGAUCUGGAGACGAAGGAGCAAUCAACACAGAAGUCGAAGAGCCAGGAGCUCCAUCUCUCAAUCGUAACUGAUGGACAAGGCGCUGAAGCUCGACCUCCUGAGUGGUGCUAAGUCCUCCAAUGAUCACGUCCGCACGGGUCAAUGGCUCUGAUGCCCUCACAAAAUAAUCAGAUAAGCUCCUGGUGUAUGGGCGAAGAGGAUAGUAGAAAGGUGUGUGGGUCAGUCACUCUCUCCUUGCGCAAACGCGCCAUGUAGAGAUAAUCGGCCUCAAUGGGGAUGAACCCGAGUCCGAACGGUACGUCGUGAUCAGGGAUGGCUAUGAACUCGCUCGGUCCAUGCUGACAUCGACCCAACCCCAUGCCGGGUAGAUAGGACAUGCUUCGCAUAAUAUCGAGCACCACUGUGCUCCCAUGCCGGUCAAAGGACAUGGCCACAAAAUCCCGGCAGAAAUCCUCUAUCUCCACAGUCUGCACCUCAUCGAAGGUGAAUUCAGUCAGAAAAAGAUCGUCAUCAGUGUGACUAAUCUCGAGCACAGGCUCGGCAACAAUGAACAUGUCUCCCACAGACUGUACCACGACGACCUGACCAUCGUGAAUAAACUUCACCUUCUGAUGAAGGGAAGAAGGAAUGGCCCCGGCUCUAUGGAUCCAUGGUCGGCCCAGAAGCAGGUUAAAGGAUGUAGGAAUCCUCAAAACCUGGAAUACAGCGACAAAAGUGGCCGGACCGAUCAGCAACUCGAUCUCCAAUGUACCCAUGACCUCUCUACGGGUGCUAUCAUAAGCUCGGACGGUCUGAGUGGAGGGACCGAAAUCAGAAGGAGCGUAUCCAAGGGCGAUGGCAGUGGCAAGAGGACAUACGUUCAGGGCCGAGCCAUUGUCCAAAAGGACAGAUGGGACUCGGCGGCCUGAACAGCCAACAGAUAUGUAGAGCGGACGAGUGUGGUCCGAGCCCUCCGGUGGCAAGUCAUCAUCGGAAAAGACGAUACAAGUGGCUCUGCCAGCCGUCAUCAUAUGAAGGAGUCCCUCGGGAGUGGUCGUGGUAUCAACUCUGAUCUGGCUCAGAGCUCGAGUCAGUGCGUCCCGAUGGGUACUGGAAGACGCUAAAAGGCUCCAGAUAGAAAUACGAGCCUGAGUGCUCUGCAACUGCCUCAAAAUCUCGUCAUCCUCUGCUCUCACCUCCUCCUGGGAUGACGUACCCCCUAAGGGUCUAGCGGGAGCGGCUGGAGGUGGCUGUCUCACUACUCUCCCUCCCCGGAGGAUAUACUAAACGUCCGGAGUCUGAGGAUCAUCACUAUGUGGAGCCUGAACCUCCUCAACAUCUGGGAUCAGAAUGUACGGCGCCUGAACGCUAUAGCGUGUGAAUGUCAGAGGCUCGGAAGUGGCCGCCUGUACAGAUGCUGCCUCAGGAACUAAUCGGAAUGGAGCAGGCAUCUGUGGCUCUAGAGUCACCCCACUCGUCUCGUAAAUCACAGCUGGCAUGAUAGGCUCUGGGUCUGGAUCAUCCCAACUCAACAUAUGGACAUGAUCAUCAGUCUCAUCGAAGUCCAAGAAAUGAAUACCACAAGCUGGUGGAGGAACUGCAUGUGUGGUGUGGGUCGGCAACGGGUUUGUGGUCACACUCGGCUGACCCAAGUGUACCAAACCCUGGUCUAUCAGAUCCUGAAUAGCGUGCCUCAGAGCGGUGCAUCGAUCGGUCUCAUGUCUAGGCCCCUGAUGAUAAGCACAGUGUAAAUCCAUCCUGAACUGAGCUGGAAUAGGCUGAGGUAGUGGCCGAGGGGUGAGAGCAGUCAAUAAACCAGCCUCCGUAAGCUUCCGAAGAGCCUGGCUCAACGGCAUGCCUAUCUGCGAGAACUGCCUCUGCGUCCUCAAAGUAAACGGAGCAGAAGUCUGCUGGGCUCCAGGUCGGGGAUAAGGCGCCGCAGGUCUCGCGGUGAACUGAGCAGCGUAGCAUGGCUGCCCUGUGGCUGUGUAGGAGACCGCGGGUCUCUCAAUGCCCUGAGUGGCAUAAGAAGGUAAAACCAAUGUCUGUGGCAUGUGUGUCUGAUCGUAAGCCGGACGAGGUGCCCGUGGCCUGUACUGAUGAGAUGCAUAGGAAGAAUGAGGCUCGAAAAACUGUGGGAUCGGCUGAUGGCGUCUAAGAGGCCUCUGACUGGAUGAACUGAUAGCACCAACCUCUGUCGGUCUCGGUCCUACGAAUAGUUUCUUCCCCUUAACAUCACUAGGGGAAGAAUCUGCCCAUAAACCUCUCGUGAUGCCGUCCUCGACAUCAUACAAAGCCAUAACCAGAGACCCAAAAUCUGUGAACGGGACCCCGACCACAUGUCUGGCGAUCCCCGGCUGUAGGCUCCUCAAAACCAUCUGAAUCUAGUCUCUCUCUGAUGGUCUAUCCACUAUCUCAGCUAUCUUCCCGCGCCAGCGGGAAAUGAAAGAAGAAACGGACUCCUCUGUCCUCUGCCUUAGAGCCUCGAGCUCUCUCCUCGAUACAUCUACAACAGUGUUAAACGAAAACUGUCGUAGGAACUCCUGGGCCAAGUCAUCCCAUGUACGGCGUCUCGAGGACUCCAGAGACGCAAACCAGCGCUGAGCUGCCCCACUCAGAGAUAGGGGGAAAAGAGUGAUCAUUUGAGGCUCGUCCAGUCCAUGAGCCCUCAUCACGGUGCUAUAAAGUCUGAGGUGGAGGCGCGGACAACCAAUACCAGUGUACCUCUCAAUAUCUGGCAUCCUGAACUUAGUUGGCAAGCUGGCUACCGGCAUACCCCCAAAAUCAUCCCAAACAACUGAUCCAUCUGACACUCUCAUCUGCCUCAUACACUGCUCGAUGCGGUCCAUGCGGGCAUGCGUGUCAUCAGCGACAACGGCCUGGGCGACUACGGGUGGAGUGAUCUCAGAAUGCCCGUGUAAUACAUAUGGUGAUGCCUGAUGCACUGAAGGAACGAGUGGGGGUGGUGGAGGUGGGUGUGAGUCAUAUGGCGUCUCAUCCUGGACUGCUGGUGGUCUACCCUACUGACCACCGAUCUCCUGCCUGAGGCUAGCCAAAGCCUCCUGGAUAGAAGCCAUGGCAGCCGUGAACUGAUCGACCGUGACAACCUGCUGAUCCAUAUCUGGUGUAUCUGAAACCCGAACUAAUCUGCCCUCUACUCUGAUCCACGAAACUAUACCCAGACUGAGAGUAAAAAUCCUGAUCCUGAAAGUACUCCUCUUCUGCUCUGAUCCACAAAGGUAUAUCAAGACAAGGAACAAAUGUCCUAUCCUACAAAGCACGAAGAACGUAAUAAGGAUAUGGCCCGGGGAACGUAUAGAAGAAAAGAUAAUCUGAACAGGAACAAGCAAAGCAUCCAAGUGAAGAUGAGCGAUCCGACCGUACUCAAACUCGUCCUGAUCUCAGUGCACUCUCAACUGGAGACUAAACAGAGGGAAAAUCGGAUCCAAAACUGCGGCUACAGAGGCACGGAAAGCCCUCAGAUGCACCCACGUGUAGGGAGGGAAUCCUAAUCGAAGGAUCUACGGCUCAACCUACAAGGUCAAGGUGGCUCUAAAUGGAUAAGGGUGGACUUUAAAAUAUCCCUAGCAGAAGCGAUUAUACCCUCCGACGGUACGCAACCCUCUGCACGUCUCCGAAGAGACGGGGCGCUUCCAUGCAAGGUGGUCAUCACCUCCACACAUGCACUACCUCGCAUCCCAGGGGGUUUCCUAUGGUGAAACCUCUCAAACUCUCAACACUCAAUAGUCGACUAGAGUGCACAGUGAAUGGUGUGGGUGCAUCCGAAACCCUAAAAAGCUAAAGCAGGAUAUGAAACACACUGGCCACACAAAUAUCCAUGAAACCUAGCUUCGGGCUAUACAGGUCUUCAAUGAUCGGACUCCAAUCGACAUCAAAGUGUCGCUCUCCUCCAAAAUGCUCCCGUGCAUCGAUAUAGCCCAUCGCUAGACCCUACUCCUAAUCUCCGGCUCGGUCAAAGAGCAAGCACACAGAAGGUCUCACACUUGCAAUAGUGAGAACCGAAAUGAAAGGAAUGACCGAAACCAAGAGAGUUGGAGGUAGGGGGAUAGAAGUGAGACCCACAUAGACAGGCAACAUGCAAUCAUACAGAGGGAGGGCAGUCAUGCAUCAUACGGUCAAGCAGAGUAUAGGAUAUAUCACUCAUGUCCACACAAAAAAAAAAGCUACAACUAUCAGGAUGAAUAGUGAUAUGAACAUCAUGCUCAAAAGAUGAUCUAGAUAAUAUGCAGGUCAGAGAAAACAACACAGCAAGUCAAACGAUGUACAAUAGUGAGUCUAUGCAUGUGAAGUGAGCAGAAUAAUCAGGAAGAAACAGAAUCGCUUUACCAAGCAAAACAAGGUGAGCAACCUAUGAUAAUCGGCAUGUCAAUGUACCAAACUAAUAUAGCAAUGAAGUACAAAAAAAACGACAUCCGAAGCCCCAAAUCAAGAUGAUCAAUCAUAUCAAUGUCACAACAUAAUAUCCAAGCAUACAUAAAAAAAACUCUCAAUGUGCAAUCAAGAGACAGGUACUCGCUGAUCGACUCAUCAAAUGCCCUGUUUGCUUCAUCUUAAGUUCAAGCUUGACCCUCUAACUCAUCCCCAGCGGAGUCGCCAUUUUGUGGACCCCGCAUUUCGGCUCAAUGCGUUCCCCACUCAAUGGUGCAUGCAGUCUGUUGAGGCUUUGCAAUGAUGGAACCUGAGUGCAUUGUUGGGCAGUCAUCCAUCCUUAUGAAAAGUUCUUAGGAGACUCACCCAAUCCUUGAAGUUGGAUCUGUUCCAUCCCCAGAAAGAAGAAUAUCAACAGUGAAUUAUGGGCACUACGUCCCUUUGACUUGGACGUUGGCCGCCAAUGUUUGAUAUGGAGUCGCGUUUGACUCAAAUGUACACUGACGCUACUUUUGGGCAUUGCCAUCAUGCUAUCCGUGACAUUUUAACUCCUGUCCUUCUUGCAUUAUACGAAUCAAGGAGGAAGAGUAAAUCAAAGUAAAACUCAUCAUAUGGGGCAACGUGAUUUUUAUCCUUCCAGGCUGGCAGAGACUCAACAUGAUACAGGGUUCUAAUCAAAGUUUGCUCUCGUCCAAAUACUCAAUCCUGUAAACAUCCAUGGGAUCAGUAAUGGAGAUAAGAGAAGGUCAGGAAUGCAAAUGAAAGAGAAUCAUCAUUGAAGUAUUGGGUUGAAUAAUGGGGUUAUCAUGGGAUCAAGAGGCUUAUGGCUUGGUGACAAUAGUUGACAUGGACAAAUGAGGAGAUAUGAAAGGCCAGAUUUGAGAGAUGAAGUCCACGUUUCUAUCAAGGAUUAUUUUAAUUGAUUCCAUCAAGGGCUCUCACAUGUGAGAUAGAGAUGGCAAUAGUAACAAGCACAACGAUGUCAAUGGCAUGAUUUCUGAGGCUAGUAUCAUAGGCGGCAUCCACCAGGCCAUUUUGAUCCAUAAGAAAGGUAGCAAAGUGCAUCGGGGCUUCCUCUUCGUUUUGGGUGGAAUGGUGAUCUUUGUGUUCCUCAACGACAUCCAUGGAGUGGAGUAGAUUGUUUAUUUGACAGUAGCAAUUGCAAAUGGGUCAUUAAUGGACUUGGUUUUGAUUACCAGGGCUUGAGAGGUUUCUUACCGAAUGAUAUAUCCCAAUCGCGCCAUCUACAUGCAACACGUCAGAAUGAUUCUUCUGUGGAUGGGAGCUAUUCAUGUCCUCUGGUGUUUGAGAAACUGCCAGACGUAAACCAGGAAGGGUCCCAGUGGACAGAUUGUGAAAUUCGAGAGACCAUCAACGUGAUUUAUCAUGUAUAAACUGGAUUCUUACCUAAGUAUCCUUGUUUCCGAACAUCGUAAACCGCGGAAAUUAACUUUGUACUGGAUUCCCUAUACAUGUGGGGCAGCGGGCUCAUCAGUUUGCUCAGUAUGGCUCCUAUGUCAUGGUAGUUUGAUGGGAAGUAAUGACAUAAAAAAUUGGGUUCGUGAAGCUAAGGACUCAACCAUUACCUUCUGGAAUAAUCAUGUAGAGCAAUCGAUUCCGUCCAUUAGAGAUGAAUUCUUUCAGGCAAUCAGGAGCAACACCUAUGAUGCCAUCAGCUGUUCUAACAAGCUCUGCAGCACCACUGAUCCUUAUAGUGCAGUCCCUCCACCCUGAGCUUAGAGGGAAGUGUUUUUGCAUGGCCACCUUGGGCAUGCAGCUCUUGACCAUGUGCCAUUUCCUUCUAUUCUCUCAUCCCCUGUUUUCUUGAAAAUAAUCUUCUUAAAUCCCAUUUUCAAUAAAAUUUGGUUGCCAUUUUCCUUCCGGCAAGCCACUUGUGCAUUUUCUUUGUUUUUAAAAUGUUUUAAAAAUAAGUAAGAAUUAAAUUCCGUAAUUCCAAGUGAUGGAAUUUAUGGAAUUGAUUCAUGCAAAAAUGAAUUGGGUCUUGGUGGGGGCCCUACAUAUGAGAUUCCAUGAUUGAUUGAUUUAUUUGUCAUGCAUGAUUGAUUUACUCUAUUCCUUGAUAUGCGCUUAAUUAUAUAUGUUCAUUGUUCACUAACCAUGUUUCAUGAUAGCGCAUUCGUGAUUGCCGCCCAGGUACGCAUCUAUUCAUAUUUUGCUCAUUCUUUAUACAUGCUUUGUCUCUCAUAUGUGCAUGAUUGAUUCGAGUAUUCAUUGAUUUUCUCAUUGAUUGUCAUGUCAGCUUCAUCUCAUUAGUAGAGACCCGACUUUAGGGACUUAGAGGGGUGCUACGGUCCAUACCGUACCUUCCCAAUAAGUAACCUGACCCCUGAACCCGAUCCGAUUUUUCACAGACCACCUUUUCCAAAAUAAGGAGUCACACUUAGGGUUUUUCUUUCUUAUUUUGUUUACCCUUUAAAAAUAAAACAAAAAUAAGUGGCGACUCCAAGUCAUUUUCAAAUAAUCAAUAAAAAUCAUUUUUCAAAUAAAAAUCGAGCUCGUCAUCGAGUGGGAAACGCAUUGAGCCGAAAUGCGGGGUCCACAAAGUGAUCUUGAAAAUUAUAAGUUAAUUAUGUUUACUUGAAUAAGAGAUUUGAAUAAUCUUGUAAAAAGAUGAUGUUUGUCGUUUAAGUGGAAGGUUGAUUUAGAAAUUAUCAUACAGGGAAAUGGAAAAAAAUACUAUUAUUUUGGUACAAGACCAUAUUAUUCAGUGGUGUCUCUAGAAAGUUCCAUUAGAUGCUAUUAAACAAUUAAUUUGGUGUCUCACUUGCAUAAUUUUGAGUUAUUGGAUUUUGGGUUUUGCAGACUCUAAUCUCCGGAGGUAACGACACAACUGUUGUCUCUCUGACAUGGGCACUCUCUCUUGUACUAAACAACCAUGACACCUUAAAAAAAGCUCAACAAGAAUUAGACAUCCAAGUUGGGAAGGAAAGAUUAGUGAAUGAACAAGAUAUAGGUAAGUUGGUCUAUCUCCAAGCCAUUGUUAAAGAGACAUUACGGUUAUAUCCAUCAGGACCACUUGGAGGACUACGCCAAUUUACCGAGGAUUGCACCUUAGGUGGAUACCAUGUCUCUAAAGGCACCCGUUUAAUAAUGAACCUUUCGAAGAUCCAAAAGGAUCCAAGAAUUUGGUCAAAUCCAACAGAAUUCCAACCAGAGAGGUUUCUCACCACCCAUAAAGAUGUUGAUCCUUGGGGAAAACAUUUUGAAUUUAUACCAUUUGGAGCUAGUCGAAGAGUAUGUCCAGGAAUAACUUUUGGUCUUCAAAUAUUACAUUUAACAUUAGCUAGUUUCUUACAUGCGUUUGAAUUUUCAACUCCAUCAAAUGAAUAGGUCGAUAUGCGCGAGAGCCUUGGACUUACAAACAUGAAAUCUACCCCACUUGAAGUUCUCAUUUCUCCACGCUUAUCUUCUUGUAGUCUUUACAAUUAAAACAUUGAAACGAAUAGGUCAAGUCGGUCUUGCUAGUCUUGGUUUAAAGACAUAUGGAGUUAGGUUCAAUCAAUCUAUGACAAGAUUUGGGAUUGUAUUAAAAGUAGGUUGGACUAAGAAUGAUGUAUAAUAAACUAAAGUACUAUUUAUGUCAAUAAAGUAUAGCUUUAUAUAUUAUUUGGUUAUCCUUGCUCUCCGUCUAGGCUCUCAUGGGUGCAAGGCCUACCCAUGAGGCCCUUUUCUCCAAAUUUGAGUCAAGUGGCUAAGGGGCUUACAACUAGCUUCUUUGCCAUAGACAAAUUUUCUUUUGUUUAUAUGUUUUAAUUGAUGCAUAUUCACUUUCUUCUUUUCUUAAUUAAAUUGCAAUAAUUAAACAUACAAUUUAAAUAAAUUUUAAAUUUUAUUUUUAACUAAAAACAAAAGUAUACAGAUACAAAUAUAUACUGCUUAAGUAAUUAAUUUUUAAAAAUUAUCCUUUGAGAACAUCUCAGACAAACUGAGACAUGCUUCCAGAGAAAUCUAAAUGUAAUGUUUUUAAAAGCUACUUUGUAAUUUUAUUUUCGAGCAUGUUGCAUAAUAUAUACUUUCCUUGAAUUGAUUUUCCAAACUAUAUUUUUAUUAGCAAUAAGGGUUAUCUACGUUUUGGAAAUUAUAAGUUAAUUAUGUUCACUUGAAUAAGAGAUUUGAACAAUCUUGUAAAAAGAUGAUAUAUAUAUAUAUAUAUAUAUAUAUAUAUAUAUAUAUAUAUAUAUAUAUAUAUAUAUAUAUAUAUAUAUAUAUAUAUAUAUAUCGUAUGGCUGAUUUGGAAAUUAUCCAAAAUGGAAAAAAAUACUAUUAUUUUGGUACAAGACCAUAUUGUUCAAUAGUGUCUCUAGAGAGUUCCAUUAGAUGCUAUCAAACAAAUAAUUUGGUGUCUCACUUGCAUAAUUUUGAAUUGUUCGAUUUUGGGUUUUGCAGGCUCUAAUUGUCGGAGGUAACAAUACAACUGUUGUCUCUUUAACAUGGGCACUCUCUCUUUUACUAAACGUACAACCACGACAUCUUAAAAAAGGCUCAAGAAGAAUUAGAUAUCCAAGUUAGCAGGGAAAGAUUAAUGAAUGAACAAGAUAUAAGUAAGUUGGUCUAUUUUCAAGCCAUUGUUAAAGAGACAUUACGGUUAUAUCCACCAAGACUACUUGGUGGACUAUGCCAAUUUACUAAGGAUUGCACCUUGGGUGGAUACCAUGUCUCUAAAGGCACCCGUUUAAUAAUGAACCUUUCAAAGAUCUAAAAGGAUCCAAGAAUUUGGUCAGAUCCAAUAGAAUUCCAACCAGAGAGGUUUCUCAUCACCCAUAAGAAUGUUGAUGAUUGGGGAAAACAUUUUGAAUUUAUUUCAUUUGGAGCUGGUCGAAGAGCAUGUUUAGGAAUUGCUUUUGGUCUUCAAAUAUUAUAUUUAACAUUAGCUAGUUUCUUACAUGCAUUUGACUUUUCAACUCCAUCAAAUGAACAUGUUGACAUGCAAGAGGCCUUAGACUUACAAAUAUGAAAUCUACCUCACUUGAAGUUCUCAUUUCUCCGGACUUAUUUUCUUGUAGUCUUUACAACUAAAACAUUGAAAUGAAGAGGUCAAAGUCGACCUAGCUAGUCUUGGUUUAAAGACAUAUAGAGUUAGAUUCAAUCAAUCUAUGAUAAGAUUUGGGACUGUAUUAAACAUAGGUUGGACUAAAAAUGAUGUACAAUAAACUAAUUAAAGUAUUGUCCAUGCCAAUAAAGUAUAACAUUAUAUAUUAUUUGGUUAGCCUUAAGGAAUGUAGCAUCAUAAUUAUUUCUUUGUUUUGUCUAAUUUAUCACCAUUUUUUCCCCUUCUCUUCUUCCCUUCUCUUCAUUAGAACAAAUAAUAUAUAGUCUUUUUAUUUUUAAAAAUCAAAUUCGAUUCCCAGUUAUAUAAGAAUUUUACUUUUACUUUAUAAUAAACUUUACUUUAAUCUUAAUAACUUUGACCAUGAUCUCCAUCAUUGAUUAAAUAUAGGGAUAAUUUCAAUCAUUUUUUCUAAGAUUGGAGUUAAAUUUACCCAUCCAUUAUUAAUUUGAAAUUUUAUUAAAUAUUUUUUUUUUCCUUUUUUUUUACAUGUAUAUCUUUUAAUUUAAAAUAAUAGUUGUCCGAUAUAUUUAUAUGAAAUUAUUUUCGAAGAGGUGAAUGAAACUAAACUUUUUUUUAAAUAUAAAAUCAUAAAAAUUUAAUAUACGCCAGCACGAUCCGGUCUAAAUAUUAUAUAUAAUUUGUGUCAUUUCAAAAAAUCAUAGAAGAUCCUUUUGGCAAGGUGGCCCCUUUGAGUAGGAAUUCUCUAAUUGGUCACUACAUAUUACAUAAUUUCAAAGAUUAUGGAGGAUCAUUUACCAAUCAUUAUCAGAAGAAGUGCUGAUUCCUGUAUAAAACUAACCAAUACGAUAUUUAGCACAUGCAAACAGAUUUGGAAGGAUCUGAAAGUCAAGCCUACGGGCCAUCCCUUUACGGCUUGUUCGAAAAAGCACAAAUUGAUGGGGUGCCACUUGCCAGCAGUCUGUUUCAAUAUCUAAAUGUUACCCAGUGGGAUUGCUUGAUAUACUUUUUGUCUCCUAGCUACCAUCUAUUAUUAUGGAGCUCCAGAGCUGGUAAGAUAAGAAUACACCCAAAAGCUGCUGGUGCAUGGCCAAUAAUCGGUCACCUCCUCUUAGGGUCACAACUUCCUGGGAUUUUUUUUUAUAAAAUUACGGUAAAUUUAAAAUUAAUUUUUUAAAAUGCGGCAUAUUGAAAAUAUGCUUGAAUAAUAAUAAUAAAAUGACAAAUAAUAAAAAGGAAAGAAAGUUGUCUUGUGGCUAUAAGAAAGAAUAAUAUAAAAGAGAGAGAUGAGGAGAGGCGGAUAGAGAGAAGAGUAGGCCGAAAAAAAAAAAAAAAAAGAGGAGAACGGGGAGGUGCUGCAAAUCUUUGGGCGUUCGAUCGUAUGACGAGCAAAACGACUUAUGUUUUGCAUGAAAGUUAAGGAGAAAAUUUUCUUUGAGGCGAGGAACAUUCCUUCAAAGUUCGAUUUUAGUUUCAAUGAUUGGAUUUUUUUAUUUGUGGUAAGAUAGUUUAAUCCUACAACUUUUGUUUAAUAUUUUGUUCUUGAAAAAAUAUUAUGAAUUUUUUUAGUGGAAGAUAAAUAUGUGUUAUUUGUGUUUUCUUUAUGUUAUUUGAAGUAUGAUUAUUCUUAAGGUUAUUAUUAUUAUUAUUGUUUUAUGAUUUACAUAUUAUUAUGAUUUUAUUUUUAAAAUUUUUAUGUUUGCAAUGAUUUAAUUGAAGAAAAACUGUUGUGUUGAUUGUUGAAAAUUAUUUAGUAUGUUGGGAAUAAAUAAAAUUUAUAUGAUUAGGGUUGAGACUAUGUUUUGAUGAUAUGUAAAUUAUUGUGAAUAUAUAUAUAUUUUAUAUUUGUAGUGAUUUAAUUGAAGAAAAAUUGUUGUGUUGUAAUUGGAAUUAUUGAUCAUGUUUGGAGUAAAUAAAAAUUAUGUCCUAGAAAAUUAUGCAUAAUAACAUGCAAGUUUAUUAUAUUUCAUAUGCAUCAUGGUUAUGUGAAAAAAAAAAUUGAUGAAAGAUUUUAUAAAAUGAAAAAGGAAAAAGAAAAUAAUGAUGAAAAGUAAAAACCUGUGAAAGAUAAAUCAAGAAGGAAAUGAGAUUUCUAGUGUAAAAAAUACAAAAAUUUAUCCCGUGAGUGUAUUUGAUAUAGAUGCAUAUCAUUAAGUGAAAACCCAAAAACAAUAGUUGAAUGUAAGCAUUUGCACCAUGUUUUCAUUUGGAAGAAGGACAUGUAUUAAAUACUUGAAUGACAUCAAUGGUAUGUUUAAAUAUAUUAUUAGAGAUUGAAAUAAUUUAUUUAUUUUGUAAGUUUAGAAUUAUUGGAUAAACCGCUAUUGACGAUUGGACCGAUGAAUGGGGCGGUUUUUCAUGAACUGCAUGGCUAAAUUCCAGCUCCAGUCUUCCUCCCAUUUUUCCUUUCAUCCAAAUAGUCCAACCUCCCCCUCCUCUUUUUCAUAGGGUCCAAGUGAAAGCCCAAUAAGCCCAGCCUUACAUUUUAAUGGCUUUUUGGCAAAACCUAAACCCAUUUAAACCCAUGGGUGGUACCUUUUUGGCAUGUACUAAUUUGAGUUAUAUGAAUUUUUGUAAUUUAAAUUAUAAUUUGUUAUUUUGUAAAAUAUUUUUUACUUAGAUUUAUGUAGAUAUUUGGGUUAAUUUGGGAUUAUAUAUUGAUCUAUUCAACUGAAAUCAUUGACCGUCAAAUUGGAUAGGAAUAACAUUUAAGGUCAACCCUUUGACCUGAUAUCACUAAUCGGAUUCUGAGUUGCCUUGAAUAGGGUGUGACUAUAAUGGAUUUUCUUCUCCAAUGCCUAAACCCUGUCAUGGUUGGAGCGUUUGCAAUACUCGUCCUCUCAUACCACCUGUUAUUAUGGAGGACUGGAGCUGGUAAGAGCAGAAUGGCACCUGAAGCUUCUGGUGCAUGGCCCAUAAUAGGUCACCUGCACCUGUUAGGUGGAUCUAAGAAUUUGCCUCACUUACUUUUUGGAACCAUGGCCGACAAGUAUGGACCAGUAUUCAGCAUCCGGCUGGGAUUAAAAAGAGCUGUGGUGGUGAAUAGUUGGGAGAUGGCCAAGGAAUGCUUCACCACCCAUGACCUGGCUCUGGCCUCCCGUCCUGAGGUUGAGGCCGCCAAAUAUUUGGGAUAUAACUAUGCCAUGUUUGCUUUCUCUCCUCACGGUGCAUACUGGCGUGAAGUGCGUAAGAUAGCUACUCUAGAGCUACUCUCGAAUCGCCGGCUAGAAUUGCUGAAGAAUGUCCGAAUCUCAGAGGUGGAGACAUGCAUGAAGGAACUAUACAAGCUUUGGGCAGAGAAGAAAAACGAAGCGGGCGUUGUUUUGGUGGACAUGAAGGAAUGGUUUGGGCACUUGACUCUGAACGUGAUUCUUAUGAUGGUUGCUGGAAAACGAUAUUUCGGUUAUACAGGCGAAAGUAAAGAGAAAGAGGCCCAGCAGUGCCGGAAAGCGAUUAGGGAAUUCUUUCGUUUGUGGGGACUCUUUGUGGUGUCAGAUGCCAUUCCUUUUUUUGGAUGGCUUGACGUGGGUGGACAUCUGAAAGCCAUGAAGAAGACUGCAAAAGAACUGGACGGUAUUGCUCAGGAAUGGUUAGAGGAACACCGGCAGCGAAAAGAUUCUGGUGAAGCUGAUGGUAACCAGGACUUCAUGGACGUGACGCUGUCCAUUCUGGGUGGUAGAGACAUUACUGAUUAUGAUGCUGAUACCAUCAACAAAGCUACAGCCCUGGUAUGCACAUUAUUCCUUUAGCAUCUUUAUAUGGUAGUAAAAAAUGAGACAUAAUUUCAUGCUUUAUCAUCUUUAGUCCAGACUCAAGAGUACUUGGGCCUGGGUUGGAAGAACUUAUUUUUGCUUUGUUUCAAGUCGAAACUAAUCAAAAGCAGCGAUUUUUAAAAGGUAAUUAUAAUAAUGGUAUUAUAAAAGUUCAAACAUAAAAUAACUUUUUGCAUAAAUCAAAAUAGAAUUUUUAUAUAUACAUAUAAAAUGUUUUUCUGAUCUUCAUAUUAAUUUUUUUAAGUCAUAACUUUUUUGAACAAAAUUAGUCAAACCAUAGAACUCUUGAACUUACAAAAAAGGGCUUUCGAUUUCUUAGAAGUAGAUACAUGUAGAUUAUGAAAGUAUGUUCCUUAGUCCGCAUGGUUUGAGGCCUCUUUGAGUGGGCUUCUAGAGUCGGUUAGACAAUUGGGCCUUUCAAAGGAUUUCCUAAAUUUACAUUUUUUUUAGCCCAACUUGAAUUUUUAUAAAAUGCUAUAUUUAUACGCGAGUUUCAUAUUCAAGCUAAACAUACCCAUUUUGAUUGGAAAAAAAAGGAAAGAAAAUGGGGCCUUUUUUCCACCCUUAAUCCUAUCACUACUUUUAAUUUUAUUUUAUUAGUUAAUGGUUUGUAUUUCACAGAUUCUGAUUGGAGGAGGCACUGACACUACAUCUGCUACUUUAACAUGGGUCAUCUCACUUUUAUUAAACAAUCCAGAUGUAUUAAGAAAAGCCCAAGAAGAAUUGGAUGCUCAUGUUGGUAAAGAAAGACUAGUAAAUGAAAUGGAUAUAAGCAAGUUGGUCUACCUUCAAGCAAUUGUUAAAGAGACAUUGAGGAUAAAUCCAACAGCUCCACUUUCAGGACCGCGUCAAUUCAUCCAAGAUUCUAUUUUAGGGGGUUACCAUAUCUCAAAAGGCACUCGUCUUAUAUUGAACCUUACCAAGAUCCAAAGAGACCCAAGAGUAUGGUUGAAUCCAAUGGAGUUCCAACCAGAUAGAUUCCUCACCACCCAUAAAGAUGUUGAUGUUAGAGGUAAACAAUUUGAGUUGACACCAUUUGGAGGUGGAAGAAGAAUUUGCCCUGG
rnacentral:lncRNA from 1 species